rnacentral:ncRNA from 1 species
UUAAAUGCGGUGAAGGAAAGAGUAGUAAGUUAAUUUAUGCGAAGAGAAUCGACAAUUUGGUGAAAGUCGAAGAUAAAACAACUUAUGAAUAUGGCUCCAGAGCAGGCUGUUUGAAAUAAUAGUAGAGUGACACGGCAGCAGCCGUUAUAGUGCAGGGUAAUAGAUAAUCUUGAUGUUCUGGAUUUUAGUUACCUGUUGAGGUUUUUAUUGUAAAAUAAAAAUAAAAUAGAGUGGUAAAGCGUAUUUGCGCCUCUAUA